AGCCAGUUCAGCUGGCUUGGAUAUAAAAGCUGAAUGGAAGCUGGUGUGGAGUUGUUGGUGUUUGGGACAAAGGGAAGGAGGUGUGUUUGUUUGCAAAAGCAACCUAAAGAAGCCCAAGGCAGAUAGAAACAGUUACUGCUCUUCAGACGUAGGACUCACAAGGAGUAGAAAUCAGAGUGAUAGAAGGAGGAAGAGAACCUUCUGGCCACACAAUUGUGUUCCUUGACGAAGAGAUCACUUUUCUUCUAACUUCUGUGCCUAACUCAUCAUCAUGCAGCUUCUCCUGGGGCUUUUCUUCUUCUCUGUCCUCCUGACUACAGGUAGUUCCAUACAGUGUCCAUAUUGUAUUGCAGUUAAUGGAUAUUGCUCCGGUUUAAACGAAAAAUGUCCUAAUGGGACUGAUGCCUGUAUGACUUACAGUUUGCAACUUAAAGAAAAGAAAGAGAUAUAUGCCAACUUUGAAACUUGCUCUACGAAAAAGUUUUGUAAGACAAUGGAAGAUCUGAUAGAGAAGCCUUCCUCUGCAAUCGGUGGCAUACCUGGUUUCUCAGGAGAAGCUAUCGUUAAAAAGGUGGGCUGCAGCAAAGCCCCUCCCUCCUUUGCAUCGUUCUUCCCAGCAUUCCUUGGGCUCCUCCUGAUGAAGCUUCUCUUCUAAAGCUCUUCCUUCCACCCAAGAAGUUGUCGCUUUCCUUGGCCUGUACAUCCUCUCAAGCUGAUCAGGCAGGAUCUUUGAUAUGAUGCUUAAUCUUUUCCCAAAUAGAAACCAGUUAAGCAGACAGAAAUAUAAUCAGCACCUUGGAUUGUGUGUUUGAACUAAAAAAGAUGUUGUAAUUCAAAUAAAAAAAAACCCCAAUAAA